AGUUUGAUCAUGGCUCAGGACGAACGCUGGCGGCGUGCUUAACACAUGCAAGUCGAACGGUGACGAUCAAGCUUGCUUGGUCUGAUCAGUGGCGAACGGGUGAGUAACACGUGAGUAACCUGCCCCAGACUCUGGGAUAACCCCGGGAAACCGGAGCUAAUACCGGAUAUGACACCAAUCCGCAUGGGUAUGGUGUGGAAAGUUUUUCGGUCUGGGAUGGACUCGCGGCCUAUCAGCUUGUUGGUGAGGUAGUGGCUCACCAAGGCGACGACGGGUAGCCGGCCUGAGAGGGCGACCGGCCACACUGGGACUGAGACACGGCCCAGACUCCUACGGGAGGCAGCAGUGGGGAAUAUUGCACAAUGGGCGCAAGCCUGAUGCAGCGACGCCGCGUGAGGGAUGACGGCCUUCGGGUUGUAAACCUCUUUCAGCAGGGAAGAAGCGAAAGUGACGGUACCUGCAGAAGAAGCACCGGCUAACUACGUGCCAGCAGCCGCGGUAAUACGUAGGGUGCGAGCGUUGUCCGGAAUUAUUGGGCGUAAAGAGCUUGUAGGUGGUUUGUCGCGUCUGCUGUGAAAAUCCGAGGCUCAACCUCGGACUUGCAGUGGGUACGGGCAGACUAGAGUGUGGUAGGGGAGACUGGAAUUCCUGGUGUAGCGGUGGAAUGCGCAGAUAUCA
rnacentral:rRNA from 1 species